CACAGAUUAAUAUGGCUAAUUCUUUGAAACCUAUCAGUUUGAACACCAUGUACUAAAAUCUGGAAUCUACAUUUCUGUUCUACUUAGAACCUGGGUGGCCAACUGUAGGUCUCCGGGUAUUGUUGAACUACAGCUCACCUCAAGUCUACUCAGCAUCACCAACUAACUGAUGAUGAGCCAAGAAGCGCCAGGUUCUGAUGUCACCUCAGCAAUGAACUUUCAAGCUGAAGAUUUUAACAGAAUUUAUUCAUCAUGUUGACGACACAUCAAGAAUCUGCAAACUGCAGUGUUAAGUCCUGCUUAUUUAGCACUGUGAUACGUGCCUGCCUUUUUCCUGGAUGCUGUAUAAAGGACA